rnacentral:tRNA from 1 species
GGAGGGCUUGCGGCUCAGUUGAAGAGCAUCUGCUUUGCAUGCAGAAGGUUCCAGGUUCAAUCUCCAGCUCCUCCA